rnacentral:sRNA from 1 species
CUAUCUGCGAUAUGGAAGAUUCGAACCUGCCGCAGGUUCGGGUCGAACGCAGUGAGACAACGGAGCCGUUUACGGCGACGGCCCGAAGGGCGAGCGAAGCGAGUCAUCCUGCACGACCCACCA